rnacentral:rRNA from 1 species
GUAGCAAGGUUAACCGUAUAGGGGAGCCGCAGGGAAACCGAGUCUUAACUGGGCGUUAAGUUGCAGGGUAUAGACCCGAAACCCGGUGAUCUAGCCAUGGGCAGGUUGAAGGUUGGGUAACACUAACUGGAGGACCGAACCGACUAAUGUUGAAAAAUUAGCGGAUGACUUGUGGCUGGGGGUGAAAGGCCAAUCAAACCGGGAGAUAGCUGGUUCUCCCCGAAAGCUAUUUAGGUAGCGCCUCGUGAACUCAUCUUCGGGGGUAGAGCACUGUUUCGGCUAGGGGGUCAUCCCGACUUACCAACCCGAUGCAAACUACGAAUACCGAAGAAUGUUAUCACGGGAGACACACGGCGGGUGCUAACGUCCGUCGUGAAGAGGGAAACAACCCAGACCGCCAGCUAAGGUCCCAAAGUCAUGGUUAAGUGGGAAACGAUGUGGGAAGGCACAGACAGCCAGGAUGUUGGCUUAGAAGCAGCCAUCAUUUAAAGAAAGCGUAAUAGCUCACUGGUCGAGUCGGCCUGCGCGGAAGAUGUAACGGGGCUAAACCAUGCACCGAAGCUGCGGCAGC